rnacentral:rRNA from 1 species
UACGGAGGGUGCAAGCGUUAUCCGGAUUCACUGGGUUUAAAGGGUGCGUAGGUGGGUAGGUAAGUCAGUGGUGAAAUCUCCGGGCUUAACCCGGAAACUGCCGUUGAUACUAUCUAUCUUGAAUAUCGUGGAGAUGAGCGGAAUAUGUCAUGUAGCGGUGAAAUGCUUAGAUAUGACAUAGAACACCGAUUGCGAAGGCAGCUCGUUACACGGUUAUUGACGCUGAGGCACGAAAGCGUGGGGAUCAAACAGG